AGGGCCUAGCUGAUUUCAACCACGGUAAUAAGCUCCAUAGAUAGCCUAUCACCGGGUGGAAAUCAGUUAGGGCCU
rfam:Caenorhabditis brenneri strain PB2801 C_brenneri-6.0.1_Cont28.20, whole genome shotgun sequence.